UGAAACAGACUGAAGAGUGAUGCAAUUACCUCAGACAGCAACUGAGGAAUUUGGCUGUUUAGCCACACAUGUAUCCUUUGUUUGAUAAUAAUGUACCAUACAUACAGAAAAUUUGUGAAUGCCAUUCGCCUCACUGUGAUGUUCACAGCAAAAUCUGCCCGCAAGUUGUUCCUGAAUCAUGGAAUCUGAUGAUAUACAACAUGGAAGAUCUAAUACAUCAUAGACGUGAUUGAGCAGGUGACUUAUUACAAAACGCAACAUUGUGAAACACGUCCUGCUGACAGGACUUUUCUAAGUAUCCCUGGAAGACUGCUACAGGGCAUCCUCUAUCUGCAGGUAUUCGUUUUAAAGCCCUAGAAGACAACCCAUUGUUUUGUGGGGACUGCAAGUCAAUUUUCUCUGCCAAAAGGGAUGUGACUCCUUAAAUUUCUGAAAGCAAAAGCAGCUUAUGCCAAAUAUUGGAAAUUCAGACUGAAGGCACGUACGGUCAACUUGCUGCAUUGGAGGUUCAGAGUGUUACCAUUCUGAAGGGAGUCUAGUGCCACUGCUGUUCAGCAUUCUGUCCUCCAAAGGAUUAUCUGGAGUUUUUGGGAUGGGAUGACACUGGCUUCAUGGAGCACAAUGCUGCAAUAGUCUCUCUGGAUGGCAGUAUUUGUUCUAUCAUCUCCGUCAGUGAUUGGAGCUCUUGUUUCCUGCCAGCUCAGCCUGACUACUGCUGCUCAGGUCAAGGUGUUGCAACCUGAAGCUUGGUGAUUGAGAACAGUGUUACUUCAGGUUCUGCUCAAGGCCCUCCUGCAGUAUCCUCCACAGAAAAUCAGCAGCCACCUGCCACCCAAGCAUCAGGAGCCCUAAGACAAGCAAAGACACUUGGAAGCUAGACAAUGAAGGAAUGCAUUCAAGUUUAAGUUUGAAGGCAGUGUGGCAUGAUCUCAGACAUAAAUUUUGGUUUGGAAUGUUAUUCUGACCCCUUGUGCCCUGGCUGCCUAUCAAACUGGCAACCUACCCUCACAAAACACUACCCUUAGACAUAUUUUAUGUACUUACCCUUUGACAGCAGCUGUUAAACUAGUUUCAUGUGAUGCUGGACAUUUAAAUUUCAGAAUCCAUCUACUGACCGCUGUGAUAAAGGAUGGUGGUUUGCCUUCCUCUUAUUAGUCAAUAUCAUAAGGGACCAGUCAGAAAAAAGUAUUGUUUUGCACUUCGAAAGGAACAUUGAUUGGAAUUUCUUGUCAGAAAUGCAGCACACUUUUGCUAUGUAAAAACAGAAGUGAAGCGACUGUCUGGGUGAGAUUGCCACUCUGUGGAACUUUCACUGCAUUUUCUAGGGGGCCAAUUAGUUGAUGUGUGUGACUCAUUGAUAGUGCAGUCAGCAUUGGCUGCAUUGCCACAUAAAUAAGCAGACAACCAGAAGAUGCCACACUAUCUGCAUUACAUCGAACAGCAUGGGCCAGUUGCACAUUGUUAUGCUUAAGUCUGUUUUUUGGGAAAUUAUCCGGUUUAGCCCCUGCAAUAUCUUGCAACUUAUUUCACAAAGGAUUAAUGUAAUUGUGUGUCAAAGCUUUGUUCAGAACUGAUGUGUUUUCCAGAUUAAUCUGUCAGGUGCUGUAAACUAUUAUUGUUCGGAUUUUCCUACAUUUUCACCUGUCUUACUAAGUCAAGGAAUAACAAUGUUUUAUGAGCUUGGAGUUUGACUGAAGUUUACUUGGCAUUUCAUUAGAAAAUUUCAGUUGAUCUCAGUGGAAUUUCAUGAAAUGUAAUUCUGAUGAGCAAUCUUAUACCUUGGAUUCUUACAAAUUUGAUCAGCUAAAAUAAAGAGGCAAAACAUUUGCAUGAAUCUGCCUGCUAACAAUGUGGAUGGACUUUGCCCUUUCUGCCUGAGGGGUGAAACAUCAGACUGUGUUCACCAUAUAUGACUAUCAGGAACAGAGUUGUAUUGAAUAAGUUUUGGUUGCUCUAGAAUUGCGUCCAAGUUAAUCUAACAGCAAGAUGGAAUUCUGUUUGAUCGGUCAGUCUUUGUCAAGAUCAAAUGAAGAGUCAUUAGGACAUUGGAUGCAUUAUACCAACUGAAUACAUUGAGAAGAUGCACUGCAAAAAAUUGUCAAGUCUUCUUUGACAGCUCUUUUUCACAUUUAGCCUCAAGCAUGUAGAAGAAUAAGGGAAGUGAGCUCUCGGGAACACCGCCAUUUCCAAGUCACUCAACGUUUGUCUUGGAAGUACAUCACUGUCCUUUUCUGUCAUUAAGUUAGAAUCUUGGAAUUCCUCCUCUAAUAUUGAUGACUCAAGACAAUGUGAUCACCACCACCACCUUCUCAAAUGCAAUUAGGGAGGGUAGUCAGUACUGGACUAGGCCACAACACUGAAAUCCCAUGAGUGAAUUUGAAAAUGCAAAAUGCUGAAAUAGGUGCAACAUUAUGAUUGUAAUAUAAUUUGAUAAGUUGGAUAGCCAUUUGAAAGAUGGGGGGAAUAUAAAAGGAUAAAAGGGAAGAAAACUAGGUUCCUCCUAGAUUACUCCAGUUCCUUCAGUAUUACUUUC